rnacentral:rRNA from 1 species
UACGUAGGGUGCAAGCGUUACUCGGAAUUACUGGGCGUAAAGCGUGCGCAGGCGGUUGUGCAAGUCCGAUGUGAAAUCCCCGGGCUUAACCUGGGAAUGGCAUUGGUGACUGCACGGCUAGAGUGUGUCAGAGGGGGGUAGAAUUCCACGUGUAGCAGUGAAAUGCGUAGAGAUGUGGAGGAAUACCGAUGGCGGAGGCAGCCCCCUGGGAUAACACUGACGCUCAUGCACGAAAGCGUGGGGAGCAAACAGG